rnacentral:lncRNA from 1 species
UGCUCUUGUACCGUGACCAUGCCGCUAGAAAACCUAGAGGAAGAGGGUCUGCCCAAGAACCCGGAUCUGCGCAUCGCGCAGCUGCGCUUUCUGCUUAGCCUGCCGGAGCACCGCGGGGACACGGCGGUGCGCGAGGAGCUGAUGGCCGCCGUCCGGGAAAACAGUGAGGCCCGCGAGCGCCGAGUCAGCGGCCUAGGCUGGGGCGGACCGGGUGCCUGGCUGGGCGUCCCGUUGGGGCUUUUUGGAGAGCCCUAGGGAGCCCUCCUGGAGCCGAGAGGGACUUGUCUUAGUGGGUUCUUCCUCGCCGCGAGCUGUUCCGGGAAGCCUCGGAUGCUUGUGGCGCUUAGACUCCCAGCAAAGGGUCUUGACAGUAUGUCUGUCAGUGUUUCACUCUCUGCCAAGGGGCAGUUAGGGUUC